rnacentral:rRNA from 1 species
AGAGCGAACGCUGGCGGCAUGCUUAACACAUGCAAGUCUCACGGGCAGCAAUGUCAGUGGCGGACGGGUGAGUAACGCGUAGGUAUCUAUCCUUGGGUGGGGGAUAACGUCGGGAAACUGACGCUAAUACCGCAUGACACCUGUGGGUCAAAGGCGCGAGUCGCCUGGGGAGGAGCCUGCGUACGAUUAGCUAGUUGGUGGGGUAAAGGCUUACCAAGGCGACGAUCGUUAGCUGGUCUGAGAGGAUGAUCAGCCACACUGGGACUGAGACACGGCCCAGACUCCUACGGGAGGCAGCAGUGGGGAAUAUUGGACAAUGGGCGAAAGCCUGAUCCAGCAAUGCCGCGUGUGUGAAGAAGGUCUUCGGAUUGUAAAGCACUUUCGGCGGGGACGAUGAUGACGGUACCCGCAGAAGAAGCCCGGCUAACUUCGCGCCAGCAGCCGC